GACGAACGCUGGCGGCGUGCUUAGCACAUGCAAGUCGAACGGAAAGGCCCUGCUUUUGUGGGGUGCUCGAGUGGCGAACGGGUGAGUAACACGUGAGUAACCUGCCCUUGACUUUGGGAUAACUUCAGGAAACUGGGGCUAAUACCGGAUAGGAGCUCCUGCUGCAUGGUGGGGGUUGGAAAGUUUCGGCGGUUGGGGAUGGACUCGCGGCUUAUCAGCUUGUUGGUGGGGUAGUGGCUUACCAAGGCUUUGACGGGUAGCCGGCCUGAGAGGGUGACCGGCCACAUUGGGACUGAGAUACGGCCCAGACUCCUACGGGAGGCAGCAGUGGGGAAUAUUGCACAAUGGGCGGAAGCCUGAUGCAGCAACGCCGCGUGCGGGAUGACGGCCUUCGGGUUGUAAACCGCUUUCGCCUGUGACGAAGCGUGAGUGACGGUAAUGGGUAAAGAAGCACCGGCUAACUACGUGCCAGCAGCCGUGGUGAUACGUAGGGUGCGAGCGUUGUCCGGAUUUAUUGGGCGUAAAGGGCUCGUAGGUGGUUGAUCGCGUCGGAAGUGUAAUCUUGGGGCUUAACCCUGAGCGUGCUUUCGAUACGGGUUGACUUGAGGAAGGUAGGGGAGAAUGGAAUUCCUGGUGGAGCGGUGGAAUGCGCAGAUAUCAGGAGGAACACCAGUGGCGAAGGCGGUUCUCUGGGCCUUUCCUGACGCUGAGGAGCGAAAGCGUGGGGAGCGAACAGGCUUAGAUACCCUGGUAGUCCACGCUGUAAACGGUGGGUACUAGGUGUGGGGUCCAUUCCACGGGUUCCGUGCCGUAGCUAACGCUUUAAGUACCCCGCCUGGGGAGUACGGCCGCAAGGCUAAAACUCAAAGGAAUUGACGGGGCCCCGCACAAGCGGCGGAGCAUGCGGAUUAAUUCGAUGCAACGCGUAAAACCUUACCUGGGUUUGACAUGGAUCGGGAGCGCUCAGAGAUGGGUGUGCCUCUUUUGGGGUCGGUUCACAGGUGGUGCAUGGCUGUCGUCAGCUCGUGUCGUGAGAUGUUGGGUUAAGUCCCGCAACGAGCGCAACCCUUGUUCACUGUUGCCAGCACGUUAUGGUGGGGACUCAGUGGAGACCGCCGGGGUCAACUCGGAGGAAGGUGGGGAUGACGUCAAGUCAUCAUGCCCCUUAUGUCCAGGGCUUCACGCAUGCUACAAUGGCUGGUACAGAGAGUGGCGAGCCUGUGAGGGUGAGCGAAUCUCGGAAAGCCGGUCUCAGUUCGGAUUGGGGUCUGCAACUCGACCUCAUGAAGUCGGAGUCGCUAGUAAUCGCAGAUCAGCAACGCUGCGGUGAAUACGUUCCCGGG
rnacentral:rRNA from 1 species